rnacentral:rRNA from 1 species
GUUUGAUCCUGGCUCAGAUUGAACGCUGGCGGCACGCCUUACACAUGCAAGUCGAGCGGUCAAAAUGAGGGAGCUUGCUCCCGAAAGACGAGCGGCGGACGGGUGAGUAACGCGCGGGAACGCGCCCUUUGGCGGGGGCAACCUUGGGAAACCAGGGCUAAUACCGCAUAAUCUCUACGGAGUAAAGCGGGGGAUCUUCGGACCUCGCGCCAUUGGAGCGGCCCGUGUCCGAUUAGUUUGACGGCGGGGUAACAGCCCAUCGUGGCUACAAUCGGUAGCUGGUCUGAGAGAAUGAUCAGCCACACCGGGACUGAGACACGGCCCGGACUCCUACGGGAGGCAGCAGUGGGGAAUAUUGGACAAUGGGGGCAACCCUGAUCCAGCGAUGCCGCGUGUGUAAAGAAGGCCUUCGGGUUGUAAAGCACUUUCGCGGGGGAAGAAACUUCGCGCUCUAACAUAGCGCGGCACUGACGGUACCCCGAGAAGAAGCGCCGGCUAACUCCGUGCCAGCAGCCGCGGUAAUACGGAGGGCGCAAGCGUUAAUCGGAAUGACUGGGCGUAAAGCGUGCGCAGGCGGCCGCGGAAGUCGGAUGUGAAAGCCCCNGGCUCACCNGGAAACUGCGUCGAACUCCGCGC